rnacentral:lncRNA from 1 species
AGGCCACGUCCCGGCUGGAGGAUGGUAAUGAUGUUUAGGAGAUCACAGCUGGGCAAAGGGUGAAAACAACGCUGGGAGGUCGAAAGGCUGCAGAACCCAUUACCCAUCUCCCGAUAGCCAUUCCGAUGGAAGGCCCUGACAAACGACUCCCUGCAAAGCCGGAUAAGCCCUCUGCAUCCAUCGGCUAAUGCCAGACACUGCCUCCCUAAGUGACUGACCCUCAAUAAAAACC